rnacentral:lncRNA from 1 species
AUCGGAUCCGGUCGUCCCACCCAUCAUAGUCGGAUCGACGAUUCCCCGCCGCCGCACGCCUCCAAGUUGCUCUGUCUCCGCGGCCGCGCUGCCCGAUUCAGAAGCCGCAUCGCCCAAAUUCACCAGUGCAUGACCUCCACAGCACCCCGCCACACUUCUUCUAGCUGUCCCUCGUCGAUACCAUCACCCGUGUUGAUGUCACGCCGCCAUGUCGCUGAAGAGUCAAGAUGGGAGUGGGUCGACCCGGACCUGGUCCGAUGGCCCCAAGGUCAAUAUGCGAGGCCAUUGGUCGACCUAUUUCAUUAGAAUUUCCUGGCCUUAGUGACUCAUUGGAUACACGAAGCCGAUCCAAAAUUCAACAUUUUUUACACAUGCUUGAUGUCCUCGUGUAUUACUCAUCCCGUUCUCUUCCUCUCUCGGUUUUUUUAACUCAUCAUGUCCACAUACAGGUGAGUUGAUGUACACGUCAUUGGAUGUCUCAUUACGGAAAAUAAUUAGUCAUACUGCACUGGCCGAGGCAAUAUGUCUAUAUGUAUGCAUGCACGUUGUUCGUGCAUCCUUGGUUCAGAACUUCAGAUGUCGUAACACGAGGAUAUCAAAUGGCCUCACGUACUAACCCAUUUAGGCAAUAUGUAUAUGCAUGCCUGCUGUUUUGUGUCGAC